rnacentral:rRNA from 1 species
UACGUAGGGGGCAAGCGUUGUCCGGAUUUAUUGGGCGUAAAGAGCGUGUAGGCGGCUAUGCAGGUCCGUUGUGAAAACUCGAGGCUCAACCUCGAGACGCCGAUGGAAACCGCAUGGCUAGAGUCCGGAAGAGGAGAGUGGAAUUCCUGGUGUAGCGGUGAAAUGCGCAGAUAUCAGGAGGAACACCGAUGGCGAAGGCAGGUCACUGGGCCGCAACUGACGCUGAGGAGCGAAAGCAUGGGGAGCGAACAGG